UUUAAAAUCUUAUUGGAGUGUAAAAGCGUUGACCGAAGCACAUUUUGUAUGAAGAGCAUCACAUAUCAAAAAUGUGCGCAAUGCUGUAUCUUCGACAUUCGUAGAUUUUAUUAACUGCUGAUAUAGACUCUUUUAGGACGAUUUUGAUUCAAAAAAGUUAUGCGACAUUAAUUUAUUAGUUGUUUUCAUCGUAAAUACAACUGUAUACAAAUAAAACCAUAGUGCUGGCUUAAUUUUAUUACUAUUUUUAUGUCCAUUUCAUUGAACUCAACUUUGGGUACAGUACUAGUAUGUAUACGUCAUCAUCUUUCUUGAUUCUUUUUUAUAGAAAGCCAACAAAUCAAGAGUUUUAAUGGUGGAAUUCAUGUUGUAAAUGUCAACAGUCCAGCGCGUCUUUCUCGGCCUAGCUCCUGUCCACUACCGGGCUGUGCCUCGGAAAAGUUGCGCUAUUUGUUGACCAACGACCAAAUAACAAGAUCUAAUUAUCAAAUCAAGGAAGAAAAUUAUAAUAAAAGAUACUCAGAGCAAGAAGAGGUACAAACUCACACUAAUUGUGAAAUAAAACAGGAUACUGAAGAAAACGAUAUUGCAAAAGUCCUACUCGACUUCUCCAGCCAGUCGGUUGAUUCCUCUCAAGACAGCAGCUGAUUUGAAAUCAGUACAUAGCGCCCG